rnacentral:rRNA from 1 species
UACAGAGGUCCCCAAGCGUUUGUUCGGAUUCACUGGGCGUAAAGGGUGCGUAGGUGGCGAGGUAAGUCGGAUGUGAAAGCUCGGAGCUCAACUCCGAAAAUGGCAUUGGAAACUACCUUGCUUGAGGGUUGGAGGGGGGGACUGGAAUUCUCGGUGUAGCAGUGAAAUGCGUAGAUAUCGAGAGGAACACCAGUGGCGAAGGCGAGUCCCUGGACAACACCUGACACUGAGGCACGAAAGCUAGGGGAGCAAACAGG